rnacentral:lncRNA from 1 species
UCAGGAGUCAUGGGCUUUGAGGGGCUAAUUCACUUUUGGGCUAAGUUUGGAUCUAAGGAGGGUAAGAGCAUGCAGAUCAUAGGUGUACAUGGGUUUGGAUGAGUGCAAUCACAUGUAGGUUAAACAUGAAAGUUAUUUAGGUUUGAUCUUGGGUUAGACCAAUUGGUACUCAUAUAUAUAUAAAUAUAUAUAUAUGAGAUUGCAACCCAAUUU